ACUUCUGUUUUUGUUCCUGAUUUAUAGCAUCCACAGUUCUUUUGGUUUUUAUUUGGCAAUUAUGGGUGUGUUGUCCCAGAAAUUCAUUUCUCUCUUGGUCCGUGUGUUGUGAGACAAGUGAGAAUUGGUCGUGUCUCUUGGUUGCUGGUUGGUGUUCAUGUAUCCGUAUUGUCAAUUUUCUUCCAGUUUGGUCUAUGUCGUGUUUCUCACAGUCCUUGCAUGGUAUUUUGUAUAUUACACUGGUUUUGCUAGUUUUGGGUAUGGGGUCCUUCAUAUUCAUCAGUAGCUGCUGUAGGGUGGUUGUAGGUUUGUGGGCUAUCCUGAUAUUUAGGGGCCUGAUAGGCUUGUGGUCAUUUCUGAAAUGUCCUUGAUGUAUGGCAAGGUGAUUAGUGAGUCUGGUCUUGUUGUGUCUUCCUGUUACUGUCUGUCUCCGAGGUAAUGGUGAAUUGUGCUUUUCAGAUACCCAUUCCUUUAGAUGUAAAGUGUUUCUGUUCUGCUUGGUGUAGUUCCAGGUUUCUGCAAUUGUUGUGGCUCAUUUAAAUAGUGUCCUGAUGCAGCUCCAUUUGUGAGUGUUAAUGGGUUUGCUAGUGUAAUUGAGUAUCUGGUCCAAAUGUGUGGUCUUUCUAUACAUGAUAGUCUGGUGACCCCUGUUGUUUUUGUGUUCUAUUAUUAUGUCCAGGAAGGGUAGUCAGUUGUUAUUCUCUUCUUCUUUUGUGAAUUUUAUCCUGGUGAGGAUGUAUAUGUGUCGAUGGGUUACUUCUAAUUUUGCACAUUUGAUCAUCAAAAGGGUGUCAUCUACAUAUCAGACCCAAAGUUUGGGUUGUAUAGUGGUGAACUACAAAUCUUCUCAAAAACUUUAAAUUCUGUCUGAUCUUCUCACCUUCAAGCCAAGGGCAAUUGUACACUUUUCUUUAAGUUUCAUACUAACUUGAACAUUCUUAGUUAACCACAGAUGGUGGGUACACUGCUUAGAAUGUUUCUUUCCCAUUGGACUGUAUCUAUUUGGAGGAUUCUGAAAUACACCCUUUAAGCGUCUUUAAGAAAUCCAUUAAACAUUCAAUUUUUGUGUUUGCUAUUUUAGAUGAAUGGACAAUAUACAUCAUUACCUCAUUCUGCACAGAAAAUAUAUUACCCUCCAUAGCGUUGCUUUAUUUUCCAAUGCAUUGUUUUGAAAUGAUGCUCUUGCACACUUUUGGGGCAUUUUUAACUGAACACAUUUGGAACAGAAUCAACAGCAAUGUUAGGUUUGCACCAUGCCAGGUUCUGCUGUUCACGUUUGUUAAUACAGUAAACUGGAUGUGAUGUAAAAUGAAUGAUUCACCCAAUCUCAUCAAUCUCUGCCUGGUAAUUUGGGUUAAAAUUACACUAUUGUGCCUGUACACUUUGCCCUGACCUAAAAUUCUACCUGGAGUCUCGGGUGUUAAAUGCUACGAUUUGGUAAAAAUGAACCCUUCCUUUCUUUGCCGUCAUGUGAAAAUCUCUCAUACUGAUCUGACCAAUAAGAAACAUGUUUCAUACAGAUUACCAAGAGACUCAAUAGAUGCAACCAUAGAUGUGAUGUGUGGUAUUUCAUGGAGGUGAAUUAAUCUGUCAUGCCCAUAAGCUGGAGAGCUGGCAAGAGUACUGUGCCACUGAAGUGGCAAUCAUGCACUUAACUGAGCAAUGGCAGGCAUUUCCCAGGACCAAUGAUGCUGGCGCUGGAGAUCACACCCACCAAGAGCUGUCAACCAUGUACUAUACAGAACAUAUACAACAAUGUCAGAGAACUCUCUAGGAUUAACUAACUGGUGACGAAAGAAGCAUGGCAAGGGAAAUUGAGAGCGCUGUGGUAAAAUUGGAUCAUGUGCACAAAUUACAAUCAACGAUCAGGCAUUCAAUGAAAGUCAAUUCUGCUCAAAACCUGAGGACUCCUUCUGAACAGCACUGUGGAUGCAUCUUAAACUGGACUACAAUAGUUCAAGAGGCAGUUCACCAUCACCUUCUCAACUGCACUUAGGGAAGCAAAGUAAGUGCUCCUGUGAAAGAAUAAUACAGAAGCUGUUUGAACUGCAAGAUUGAAUUGAUGAAAAACUCGCCCCAUUUGAUAUACAGUUGAUUCUGCAGUUGGACAAGCAGGUUCUAAGGAGAUUUGUUAAUGACCAUCAUCAAUGACAUUCUCACGAAGAUGAUAAAAGGUGUGCUUGUCAGUUGGUAAUGUCAUCCUACAAUAAUGUCAUCCAGCAAAAAUGUCAUUCUGCAAUGUUUUCUUUCCCGCAUGGUCUGUCCACCUUCACCAUAUCAUACACAAUUCUAAACAGGUAUUGACUUUGAAAAGAAAGAAUAAAAUACUGCAGAUGCUGGAAACCUGAAACAACGCAGAGAACUCUGGAGAAAGUCAGCAGACCUGAAAGAAUCCACAGAAAGAAAUAGAGUUAAGGUUUUGAGUCAAAAUUGAAGAAUAGCCAUUCAAAACUGGAAACAUUAACUCUUUCUUUACAGGUGCUACCAGACCUGCUGAGUUUCUCUAGCAUUCCCUGUGUUUGUUUCUAAUUCAUAAAUAACUGGUGCAAUUUUCUCACAGGAAGUACAUGCUCCAGAAACUAACUUUGCACUGUAACUCUAUAGACUCAUAGGGCGAUUCGUCAGGAUUGAAAAAGGAUGUUGCCAGGGCAGAAGGGUUUUAGCUAUAGGGAGAGGCUGAAUAGGUUGGUGCUAUUUUUCCUGGAGCGUCGGAGGCUGAGGAGUGACCAUAUAGAGGUUUGUAAAAUCAUGGAGGACAUGGAUACAGUGAAUAGCCAAGAUCUUUUUCCCAGGGUGGGGGAGUCCAAAACUAGAGUACAUAAGGUUGAGGUAAGAGGGGAAAGAUUUAAAAGGGACCUAAGGGAUAACUUCGCUUACAAGAUGGUGGUUGAGUAGGAUGCUUCUGCAGAGCCCCUCUGCCCUGUCUAUUCUUUUUCUUUCUUUUCUUCUCUUCUUCCUCUCUUUUCUUCUUCCCUCCCAUCAUCUCCCUCAGCACCAGAGGCAAAUGCUGGCAGGUGCCAACAGCAGCAAGUUCUGAAGUCCGAGCCUAGGAAUGAGCUGGAACACCACGUGAAGUUACGUGUCCUGGAGCAACAUGGGGAUCGAGCCGGCACAGAGCCCAAGAAUAGCGUGGGAAUGAGGUGGUAAAGUGCGAGUUAUGAACCGGUAUGGCACAAAGAAUGUGUUGGAACAGCGUGUGGGCUAUGAGCCUUGGAACGCCGCAUGGGGAAUCCCAAAUCCCAGAGUGGCAUGAGGUGGUGAAUCCCUGUAUAGCAUGACUUACCUUGUUGUUGCUGAGUGUCGGUGAGGAGCGGACUGGAGGCUGGUGUAGUGUGGGACAGUUGUUGGACUUGGGCCUCGUGCCACAUGGUGCUCAGUACUCUUACCGGACUGUAACAUAAAGCCUUACCUUUCAACCCCCUUUUGUAUAACAACACUAUAUUUCUUUACUCUGUUACAUUUGUACCUAGGCACUUGUACCUACGAUAGUGCCAUUGAAGGCAGCCAUUGUAAAAACUUUUCACUGUAUUUCUGUAUUGGAGUGCAGAUGACAAGAAAGGAUAUUCUAUUCUAUUCUAAAACAAAAUCCUUUUCUUGCAGAGGGUGGUGCGUGUAUGGAAUGAACUGCCAGAGAAAGCGAUAGAGAUUGGUGCAAUUACAAAGGCAUCUGGAUGGGUACAUGAACAGGAGGAAGGGUUUAGAGGGUUAGGGGCCAAAUACUGGCGAAUGGGACUGGAUGAAUUUAGGAUAUCUGGUCAGCCUGAAGAAGUUGGACUGAAGGGUCAGUUUCUAUGCUGUGCAUCUCUAUGACUCAAUGACUACAUAUCUUGUUUCCACUCGUGGCCUGUUGGGUCUUAACAUCUAUAUCUGAACUGCCAAAUCUGCCACAUGGGCAGUGGUUUUUAAAGCUUUGUGUGUUCUCUCUAAGGCCUCAACAUCACCUUUGCAUAUUCCUGAUGAAAGUCUGUUGGUACAUAGUAAAAUGUAUUCAUGACUGAGCCUUCCAAGGACUCCUGUGACUUGAUUAAGAUGUUUGGUCUCCUCAGGAAAUUUUGAGGGCCUCGCUAAUGUGUUUCCUCUGUCUUUGUAAAAGUCCUCUGCCAUGACCAAGUUCAGAGUUGAGCAGUUAUCUUGGGAUUCUGGUAUCCAGGCAUAUAGUUACAUGCUCUGCCUAAUGAUUCUGAUGUUACCUCCAUGCUGCUGUUGAACUGCAAUUCUUACAACUGGAUUUGGAGGAACUUGUGAAGGCAGUGUUGAUGGUACUUCUCCAUUGCUUUGAGAUGCCUGCUAUCGGGUGUCCGAGUCCCCAGUGCACAUUGCAGCAGAGGGAUCACCUCUGAGCUUCGCUUUGCGAUGAGAUCCUGAUUCAUAUAUACUCUUUCCUCAGUUAACCGAAGCCUGAGCUGGCAUACCAAAGUGAUGAUAAUCUUCAUUGUCAAUUUUUGCAAUUGUCAAGAGGAUGCAAGGAUCUUACUGUUGAUUUUAAUGAAUGGGAGGUGUUGAGCUGUAGGAUCUAGUCGGAAGAGGACCUCAGUUCUCCAGGUGUAUAGUGAAAGCACUCCUGCCAUGACUGGUGGUGUGUAUUCUGAAGACUGUUUGCUACAUUGUAGUAGGUGGAGAGUUAAACAAGAUAUUCAUAAAAUCCAUCAUCAGUGUACCCAUAAGAGCUCAGAGUAGCUACUCUACUGGAAAUAUUCCAGUGAGAUCUUUAAGUUAUGGAAGUUAUUUCAUAGAUUGUGAAUCUUUCAUAUGUUUGUUGGUGACAGUGUUAUAAAUCUAUUAUGAAGGAAUUCUCCCAAAAGAAAUGUCAUUGCAAUGUACUGCAGCUAAUGUUGAAUGCUAUUU